UACGUAGGGUGCAAGCGUUAAUCGGAAUUACUGGGCGUAAAGCGUGCGCAGGCGGUUUUGUAAGUCUGAUGUGAAAUCCCCGGGCUCAACCUGGGAAUUGCAUUGGAGACUGCAAGGCUGGAGUCUGGCAGAGGGGGGUAGAAUUCCACGUGUAGCAGUGAAAUGCGUAGAGAUGUGGAGGAACACCGAUGGCGAAGGCAGCCCCCUGGGUCAAGACUGACGCUCAUGCACGAAAGCGUGGGGAGCGAACAGG
rnacentral:rRNA from 1 species